rnacentral:rRNA from 1 species
UACAGAGGGGGCAAGCGUUGUUCGGAAUUACUGGGCGUAAAGGGCGCGUAGGCGGCCUUCUAAGUCGAACGUGAAAUCCCCGGGCUCAACCCGGGAACUGCGUCCGAUACUGGAAGGCUUGAAUCCGGGAGAGGGAUGCGGAAUUCCAGGUGUAGCGGUGAAAUGCGUAGAUAUCUGGAGGAACACCGGUGGCGAAGGCGGCUACCUGGACAGAAACUGACGCUGAGGCGCGAAAGCUAGGGGAGCAAACAGG